AUUGAACGCUGGCGGAAUGCUUUACACAUGCAAGUCGAGCGGCAGCGCGGGGCAACCUGGCGGCGAGCGGCGAACGGGUGAGUAAUGCAUCGGAACAUGUCCAUGUCGUGGGGGAUAGCCCGGCGAAAGCCGGAUUAAUACCGCAUACGCCCGAGAGGGGAAAGCAGGGGACCGCAAGGCCUUGCGCGAUUGGGUUGGCCGAUGUCCGAUUAGCUUGUUGUGGGUAAAGGCUUACCAAGGCGAUGAUCGGUAGCUGGUCUGAGAGGAUGAUCAGCCACACUGGGACUGAGACACGGCCCAGACUCCUACGGGAGGCAGCAGUGGGGAAUUUUGGACAAUGGGGGCAACCCUGAUCCAGCCAUUCCGCGUGAGUGAAGAAGGCCUCGGUGUAAG
rnacentral:rRNA from 1 species